rnacentral:rRNA from 1 species
UACGUAGGGUGCGAGCGUUGUCCGGAUUUAUUGGGCGUAAAGAGCUCGUAGGCGGCUCGUCGCGUCGACCGUGAAAACCCGCAGCUUAACUGCGGGCUUGCGGUUGAUACGGGCGGGCUAGAGUUCGGUAGGGGAGACUGGAAUUCCUGGUGUAGCGGUGAAAUGCGCAGAUAUCAGGAGGAACACCGGUGGCGAAGGCGGCAUCCUGGACCGAGAUUGACACUGAUGAGCGAAAGCCAGGGGAGCAAACGGG